UAGCUCAGUGGCAUAAGCGCCUGCCUUGCAAGCAGGCAGUCGUGAGUUCAAUCCCAC
rnacentral:tRNA from 1 species